CCCCUGGAUAAUGUAUCCAGCAGGGUUCAGGGGGCAGCCUCCCACCAGCACCCACCUGGCAUAUUUACAAAGGCUGGAGCCCCCACUCUUCACAGCCCAACAGCCUCUCCCUGACUCUGACCUGAGCACCCUCCAGAAGCAAGGGCUGCCUAGCCCACCUCUGCUUUCAGGUUUCUGCUUCCAGACUCAAGUGGUUCUUGACCACGCCCACCUUGCAACCCUUCCCCCCACCCCUCCCCACUACACACACACACAGCCUGCUCAGCUGCCCUCCUCCCUCCCCACAUAGCUCCAACACGGGAAUGAUUUGCAGGUCAGCUCUCCAGGAUGACUGAAGCCUCCUCCAUCUCUCAGGAUAACGGACCAGUUUACAGAUGAGGACGCUGAAGUCCAGAAGGAAUAAGUAAUGCACGCCAGGCUUCCGAUUCCCAUGGAUCUCAGUUCUCUCCCAGAGUGCUCUGCUAGCAAGUCUGCCCUCUUUCCAUUGGGCCACGCUGCAUUCGAGAUCCAGAGGACAUAGGGAGAGUCCAGUAAUCUUCCUCCCACCCAGAUGCUGUAGGUUGGCUCCCACUGCAAACUACAAAACCAGAGACCUGGCGAGAGACAAGCUGACAAUCCAAGCUCUCUUGCGGUCACUUGCUCCUGGGUCCCAGCUACCGAAACGCAGUGUGUCCUGUGCGCUGUGCAAAUCCAGAGCCCGCUGGUCCCUGCCACCCACAGCCCCUAGUUGAACGAUGUUCCCCAUCUAGGUCCUGGGGGAAAACGGAAAUCCAAGAAACUGACACCAAACUCAGAAGUCAGUAAAAACACAAAACUUGAAAUAUUUU